rnacentral:rRNA from 1 species
UACGUAGGGAGCAAGCGUUGUCCGGAAUCACUGGGCGUAAAGCGCGCGUAGGCGGCCUCAUAAGUCCGCUGUGAAAGUCAAAGGCUCAACCUUUGAAAGCCGGUGGAUACUGUGAGGCUAGAGUACGGAAGAGGCGAGUGGAAUUCCUGGUGUAGCGGUGGAAUGCGCAGAUAUCAGGAGGAACACCAAUAGCGAAGGCAGCUCGCUGGGACGUUACUGACACUGAGGCGCGAAAGCGUGGGGAGCGAACAGG